CUUGGAAGCAGUGGGACCGUCUGGUGGUAGAUGCUUCACUUCUUCAUUUAUGACUCCACAUUCGUGGAAGAGAGCAAAGAACAAACCUAUUUCUGAAAUGUUUCUGGCUUCCAUAUGCCUCUGGCUUUUAGGAAAGCACAAGUGGCCUGCUUGGGGUCCCUCCUGGCUUGCUGGACUUCCCGUCACUUUUUGCCUGUCGUCUUCCAUGGUUCCUGCAUGGAUCUUGUUGCCUCAGGACCAAGCUGCCUUUGCUUUUCCACAAUGUCCAUGACUAUGUGGGGAAGGAAAUGGACCCUCAUGCUGACAGCGCAUGUCCACGUUACUAGUUUCCUUUAGAAAACCAUCUCCAAUGGGCCAGGCACGGUGGCUCAUGACUGUAAUCCCAGCACUUUGGGAGGCCAAGGCUGGCAGAUCACAAGGUCAUGAAAUCGAGACCAGCCUGACCAACAUGGUGAAACCCCAUCUCUACUAAUAAUACAAGAAUUAGCUGGGCAUGGUGGCACGCACCUGUAAUCCCAGCUACUCAGGAGGCUGAGGCAGGAGAAUUGCUUGAACCCGGGAGGUGGAGGUUGCAGUGAGCCGAGAUUGCGCCACUGCACUCCAGCCUGGUUAGGGAGCGAGACUGGUCUCAGAAAAAAAAAAAAAAAAGAAAGAAAACCAUCUCCAACCUUAACUCCAGGGGCGCCAUUCAUACCCUGUUCUAUAGAACCUGCCCAAGGUGUGCUCCUGAAGAAAGGGAAGGUGCUGACCUAAUGGCUCCGAGAACAGUAUUUUUGAUAAAGUGCAGUCUCUCAGCAAGUGUCCUCAAAGUGCUGGCCUUGCUCAUGCAGUAGAGCUGGGAAAGCUUAUUUGGGACUUGGGUACCACAUAAGAAAUAAAGAGGGAAUGUCAUACUAGCAGGACUUUUGACAAAAAAAGCCUGGUAUGAGAGGCCCUGACACUAAUAUGAUUCCUAUUCUCACUCAAGUUAAUAGAUCAUUUAACCAAUAGCAAAAAGAACCGGAAGUGUCCUCCCAAAGAGUACACUAUGGAAAGGGUGGGGGGAUGGAGUACCUUUACAGUGGAGAAAAGUACCCUUACACCACCUCUGCAGGGGAUCUAGGUCAACAUCAGCAGUUACAAGUUACAUUGACAGCAUGUGGCCUUGAUAUGAUGUGAUGAGAAUGGCUCUUCACCCCUGUGGUCUUCCUCCACAAAACCCAUAGCCCCAGUUAAAUCAUGAAAAAAGCAUCAGACAGACCCCAAUUGUGACCAGCACUCCUCAAAAUUAUCAGGGUCCUCAAAAAAAGGAAAGUCUGAGAAACUGUCACAGUCAAGAGGAGCCUCAGGAGACAAUGAAAACUAAGUGUCAUGUGGAAGUUUGAACAGAAUCCUGGAACAGAAAAUGGACAUCAGGUAAAAACUAAGAAAAUCUAGAUAGUGUGGACUUCAGUGAAUAACAAUGUGUUGAUAUUGAUUCAUUAAUUGUGACAAAUCCACUACGCUAAUUGCCUUAGUCUGUUCAGGCUGCAAUAACAAAAUACCAUGGACUGAGUGGCUUAUACACAACAGAAAUUUAUUUCUCACAGUUCUGGAUGCUGGGAAGUCUAAGACCAAGGCACUGCCAGAUUUGGUGUCUGGUGAAGGUCCAUCUCCUGGUCCAAACAUGGCUCCUUCUCACUGUGUCUUCCCAUGGUGGAAGGGACAAGAAUUUCUAAUUCCACUCAUGAGUGCUCUGAUCCCAAGACCUAAUCACCUACCAAAGCCCCCACCUUCUGAUAGCAUUACCUUGGGGCUUAGGAUUUGAACAUAUGAACUGGGGAGGACUCUGGGGAAACACAUUUAAACCACAGCACUAAUGUAGGAUGUUAAUAAUAAAGGAAACUGGGUGUGGGGUUUAUGGAAACUCUCUUAACUUGGUAUGAGGUAUAUGCAAACUCUCUUUAAUAUCUUCAGAAUUUUCCUGUAAACUUUAACUUUAAUCUGAACUUCUAAAAAUUAUAGUUAUACACGCAUACACAGAGAGAGAGAGAGAGAGAGCGAGAGAGAGAGAGAGAGAGAGAGAGAAGUUAUACAUAGCCUUCGUGUUGCAGGUCUAGCCUACACUUCUAGCCUUAUUCCCCCUGUUUAAACCUUAUAAGUCAGCCAAUAUAAUGAAAUUUCCUUAAGGUCAAGAUGCUACUAUGUUUAUUCUCCAAAAAAUUUGAAAAAUAAAUGAGUUUUCUUAAUUUCUUAGAAGACUCAAUAAAGUUGAGAUCAUAAAGUGUAAGUUAAGGAAGAAUUCUACCUGAAGAGACUCAUGAAACAAAAAUGAUGGUGAGGAAAGGGAGUGCUGUUUCAUUGACUAGAAAAGAAUUAGCAAAUUAAUCAGCACAUUGCCUUUUAAAUGUUCCACUUCAAGAGAUGCACACAUUUUCAGGCCCAAUGGUAUCGUCACUUCCAAUAAAGCUUUAUUGGUGGUAUCUGGAGAACGCUAUCCUAUUAUAUCCUUGGCUAAGCUCACAUAUGAGAGACUCUUUAAAGGAACAAUGCAAUAGUCUUGAUAUUCAUUGCAGACACUGGUUCUUGCCUACUCAAUAAUUAUUCCCUCACCUUCCUGACAAAGAACCCGACUUGUUCAGGUAUCUCACAAUGUGCUCAGGAAAGGUGGGCUCUUCCCCAGGUCCAUGUGGUUAACCAGAACUGCUCUAAAACAUCGUGAGAAUCCCAUUCACCUUUGCCAGUGAUUGGUUUAAGGGUAGGGAGAUUACCCAAUUCUGAACAAUGAUAUAGGAGAAGAAAGAAAUUUACUAGGGGAUUGAUGGGAACAGGUUAUUUUGUUCACUAUACAGGGACACAUAGUGAGAGGUGACAAUGUGCUAGCAGCCCUCACUCACUCUCAGCACCUCCUCAAGUGUGGGCGUGUGGCGUGGGACUGGCAGGCAGCUCUGCCCAUGGCCCCGAUGUGGGAUCCACUAGGCGAAGCCAGCUGGGCUCCUGAGUCAGGUGGGGACUUGGAGAACUUUUAUGUCUAGCUAAAGGUUUGUAAAUGCACCAAUUAGCACUUUGUGUCUAGCUCAAGGUUUGUAAAUGCACCAAUCAGCACCCUGUGUCUAGCUCAAGGUUUGUAAAUGCACCAAUCAGUGCUCUGUGUCUAGCUAAUCUAGUGGGGACUUGGAGAACUUUUACAUCUAGCUAGAGGAUUGUAAAUACACCAAUCAGCACUCUGUGUCUAGUUCAGGGAUUGUAAAUGCACCAAUCAGCACCCUGUCAAAACAGACCAAUCAGCUCUCUGUAAAACGGACCAAUCAGUUCUCUGUAAAAUGGGCCAAUCAGCAGGAUGUGGGUGGGGUCAGAUAAAGGAAUAAAAGCAGGCUGCCCAAGCCAGCAGUGGCAACCCGCUGGGGUGCCCUUCCACACUGUAGAAGCUCUGUUCUUUCGCUCUUUGCAAUAAAUCUUGCUGCUGCUAACUCUUUGGGUCCACACUGCCUUUAUGAGCUGUAACACUCACCGCGAAGGUCUGCAACUUCACUCCUGAAGCCAGCGAGACCACGAACCCACCAGAAGGAAGAAACUCAGAACACAUCUGAACAUCAGAAGGAACAAGCGCUGGACCCACCACCUUUAAGAACUGUAACACUCCCCACGAGAGUCCACAGCUUCAUUCUUGAAGUCAGUGAGACCAAGAACCCACCAAUUCCGGACGCUUUUUGGCGACCCAGAUGGGACUAUCGCCUAUCACCAAGUCGUGAGACCAUUGCCUAUCACUGAGUGGUGAGACUGUCACCUAUCGCCAAGCAGUGAGUACCAUCAGACCCCUUUUGCUUGCUAUUCUGUCGUAUUUUUCCUUAGAAUUUGGGGGCUAAAUACCGGGCACCUGUCGGCCAGUUAAAAGCGACUAGCAUGGCCGCUGGACUAAAGAAACGGGUGUCAAG
rnacentral:lncRNA from 10 species